UUAGAGUUUGAUCCUGGCUCAGGAUGAACGCUGGCGGCGUGCCUAAUACAUGCAAGUCGAGCGAAUGGAUUGAGAGCUUGCUCUCAAGAAGUUAGCGGCGGACGGGUGAGUAACACGUGGGUAACCUGCCCAUAAGACUGGGAUAACUCCGGGAAACCGGGGCUAAUACCGGAUAACAUUUUGAACUGCAUGGUUCGAAAUUGAAAGGCGGCUUCGGCUGUCACUUAUGGAUGGACCCGCGUCGCAUUAGCUAGUUGGUGAGGUAACGGCUCACCAAGGCAACGAUGCGUAGCCGACCUGAGAGGGUGAUCGGCCACACUGGGACUGAGACACGGCCCAGACUCCUACGGGAGGCAGCAGUAGGGAAUCUUCCGCAAUGGACGAAAGUCUGACGGAGCAACGCCGCGUGAGUGAUGAAGGCUUUCGGGUCGUAAAACUCUGUUGUUAGGGAAGAACAAGUGCUAGUUGAAUAAGCUGGCACCUUGACGGUACCUAACCAGAAAGCCACGGCUAACUACGUGCCAGCAGCCGCGGUAAUACGUAGGUGGCAAGCGUUAUCCGGAAUUAUUGGGCGUAAAGCGCGCGCAGGUGGUUUCUUAAGUCUGAUGUGAAAGCCCACGGCUCAACCGUGGAGGGUCAUUGGAAACUGGGA
rnacentral:rRNA from 1 species